rnacentral:rRNA from 1 species
UACGUAGGGGGCAAGCGUUAUCCGGAUUUACUGGGUGUAAAGGGAGCGUAGACGGCAGGGCAAGUCUGGAGUGAAAGGCAGGGGCCCAACCCCUGGACUGCUCUGGAAACUGUCCGGCUGGAGUGCAGGAGGGGUAAGUGGAAUUCCUAGUGUAGCGGUGAAAUGCGUAGAUAUUAGGAGGAACACCAGUGGCGAAGGCGGCUUACUGGACUGUAACUGACGUUGAGGCUCGAAAGCGUGGGGAGCAAACAGG